AGGAAUGAUGACUGUGUAAAUAAACAAAUUGUCUCAAUUUUACACAGAUUUCGUUUACCCGGACCCGAUGACCCAAUCCCAUUUAUCUUUUUCAUGGUCAUCAAUAUGAGCGUCUACUGGUCAUCAAUAUGGCGAAAGUUUCUAGAGCAAUUAGGAGCUAAUUACAUGCCGUAAUUAAUUUGAAGUUAUGAGACGAAUAGCAAUAUUUGUAACUAAGGGGGUAUGGGUGCAAGACCUCGUUCCGAGCAAGGUUGAAGGUCAACAGCAUGCCUUUCAUGAAGAAGCUUUUCCGAAGCAAGAAAUCUAAGAGAUUAGAUAAAGUUUCAGAGCAAGAUGUGAAUUUAUCUGCUGGCAAUCUCGGAAGAGUUUUCAAGGAAUUGGAUUGUCCAGUCUGCUUCAAUACGUGCAUUCCUCCCAUCCACUCGUGUAUUAAUGGCCAUCUCAUUUGCAAUAAUUGCCGAGAAUUAGUACAUCAAUGCCCAUCAUGCAGGCACGGAUUUA